CCAGAGGAAAUGCCUCACUGCAGCUGACAGGAGUGAAGGUUCAGGAUGAAGGAAGAUAUCAGUGUUUCAUCAGCACCAUUAACAGAAACAAGGAUUCAUUUAUCAACCUAAAAGUUUAUGCUCCAGUCCAUGAUGUCAACAUCCAGCAGGUAGAAAACAGGAUGACCUGCAGCUCAGAGGGGAUCUACCCUCAACCUGAGCUCACCUGGUCCACCACACCUCCAUCCAACAUCAACCUCCACAACACAACCACAGUCCAGCAGAAUGAAGAGCAGCUUUACAGCAUCAGUAGUUCUCUGAUCCUCUCACACAGUCGUACUCAUCUGGUCUACAGCUGCACCGUCAGCACUCCAACAAACAGGAGGAGAGCUGCUUGGAGGAAACUCACUCCUAUCAGUGGAUCAACAAGUGAAACAAUCAUCACCUGCGCUGCCUCCAACUUUUCCUUCUCUCACCUGCUUUGGAGAUUCAACCACAGUCAGAUGAUGGUGAAGCAGAGCAGGACUGAUGGCAGCUCCACAGUCUCAGAGGAGUGGAGGCAGCAGGUGAAGGAUGUGUCAGAGUCAGGAGACAUCACACUGCAGGACUUAUCUUCAGAGCAGGAGGGAAUCUACACCUGCCAACUCAGUAAUGCAGA